GGGCAUGUAGCGCAGUUGGUAGCGCGCUCGCUUCGCACUGGCGAUUAUAAACUUGCGAGAGGUCUUCAGUUCGAAUCUGGACUUGUCCA